UCGUCCUCAGCUCGCCAGCCAAGCAGAAGCAGGGCUGAGGCAGCCUUUCUUUUCUAUUUUUUUCUCUUUUUUUUCUCCUCUCUUCCUCCCUGAGUCCCAGAUACCCCUUUUCUCCCCGGUGGUGCACAAAAUUUUACAAAAUAGGUACUGUAGCACUUUAUUUGUAUUUGACAAUUAUUAUGUUUAAAAGAUUCGUCUCGCAAAUUAUAAGUAAAUUGUACAAUUAGUUAUUUUUUAUCUAUAUUUAAUACUACAUGCAUAUGCCGUAAGAUUCGAUGUGACGAAGAAUCUCGAAAAAUUUCGCAAAAUUUUUGGAAACUAAAUAACCCCCCAUUUUUCGGAUAUUACGGUGUUAUGGAAGCUAGAGCUCUCAUCCAACAUAGAGCAAUGGCUAUAACAACAUGUCAUUAUCGUCAUGCAAA
rnacentral:lncRNA from 1 species